UGCGGGUUGGCUGGAGUUUUCGGACCUUGCCAAGGUUGGGGUCGAGGGUUCGAAUCCCUUCGCCCGCUCC
rnacentral:tRNA from 1 species